GUUUGACCAGACUGCAGGAGGACAGGAAGACUGGAGUGCCUGGAAUAGGACAUCUUCUAGAGAAGAAAAGGCUACGGAAUAAACCCUACACAAAUAUAAAGUGGAGUCCUGUGGCGGUUGGAUGGAGUUUUGUAUGCCUCCUUUGGGCAAUUCCUGCAGCCAAGUUGAUGCCAAACAUAUUGCUCUGCUUUCCUUUGGACCACAUCAGCACAGCCAAGAGAGGGGUCUUGUUCCCUGCACCCUGGAAGGUGACUUUGGUGCUGCUAACACAGUGGUUUGGUUUCACCCCUCCAUUCUCUCUCGUGAUAGACGGAUGCCAGCAACAACAAUCUGAUGUUUUGGGGUGGUCACCUUGUCACUGGGACUUCCCCGAUCCAAAGGUAUAACCCUUUAAACCCACUAUUGUUCUGGGUUCUCUUGUUCUCUCUAGUAUUUGUGAGUGAAGACCCUGUGGCUUAAGUUUUCCUUAAUAAAGAUCUAUGGCUUAUCAGCUGCUUUACUCCUCCUA